rnacentral:rRNA from 1 species
CUAGUGACCGAUAGUGAACCAGUACCGUGAGGGAAAGGUGAAAAGCACCCCGGAAGGGGAGUGAAAUAGAACCUGAAACCGUGUGCUUACAAGUAGUCAGAGCCCGUUAAUGGGUGAUGGCGUGCCUUUUGUAGAAUGAACCGGCGAGUUACGAUUUGAUGCAAGGUUAAGCAGUAAAUGUGGAGCCGUAGCGAAAGCGAGUCUGAAUAGGGCGUUUAGUAUUUGGUCGUAGACCCGAAACCAGGUGAUCUACCCUUGGUCAGGUUGAAGUUCAGGUAACACUGAAUGGAGGACCGAACCGACUUACGUUGAAAAGUGAGCGGAUGAACUGAGGGUAGCGGAGAAAUUCCAAUCGAACCUGGAGAUAGCUGGUUCUCUCCGAAAUAGCUUUAGGGCUAGCCUCAAGUGAUGAUUAUUGGAGGUAGAGCACUGUUUGGACGAGGGGCCCCUCUCGGGUUACCGAAUUCAGACAAACUCCGAAUGCCAAUUAAUUUAACUUGGGAGUCAGAACAUGGGUGAUAAGGUCCGUGUUCGAAAGGGAAACAGCCCAGACCACCAGCUAAGGUCCCAAAAUAUAUGUUAAGUGGAAAAGGAUGUGGCGUUGCCCAGACAACUAGGAUGUUGGCUUAGAAGCAGCCAUCAUUUAAAGAGUGCGUAAUAGCUCACUAGUCGAGUGACACUGCGCCGAAAAUGUACCGGGGCUAAACAUAUUACCGAAGCUGUGGAUUGUCCUUUGGACAAUGGUAGGAGAGCGUUCUAAGGGCGUUGAAGCAUGAUCGUAAGGACAUGUGGAGCGCUUAGAAGUGAGAAUGCCGGUGUGAGUAGCGAAAGACGGGUGAGAAUCCCGUCCACCGAUUGACUAAGGUUUCCAGAGGAAGGCUCGUCCGCUCUGGGUUAGUCGGGUCCUAAGCUGAGGCCGACAGGCGUAGGCGAUGGAUAACAGGUUGAUAUUCCUGUACCACCUAUAAUCGUUUUAAUCGAUGGGGGGACGCAGUAGGAUAGGCGAAGCGUGCGAUUGGAUUGCACGUCUAAGCAGUAAGGCUGAGUAUUAGGCAAAUCCGGUACUCAUUAAGGCUGAGCUGUGAUGGGGAGAAGACAUUGUGUCUUCGAGUCGUUGAUUUCACACUGCCGAGAAAAGCCUCUAGAUAGAAAAUAGGUGCCCGUACCGCAAACCGACACAGGUAGUCAAGAUGAGAAUUCUAAGGUGAGCGAGCGAACUCUCGUUAAGGAACUCGGCAAAAUGACCCCGUAACUUCGGGAGAAGGGGUGCUCUUUAGGGUUAACGCCCAGAAGAGCCGCAGUGAAUAGGCCCAAGCGACUGUUUAUCAAAAACACAGGUCUCUGCUAAACCGUAAGGUGAUGUAUAGGGGCUGACGCCUGCCCGGUGCUGGAAGGUUAAGAGGAGUGGUUAGCUUCUGCGAAGCUACGAAUCGAAGCCCCAGUAAACGGCGGCCGUAACUAUAACGGUCCUAAGGUAGCGAAAUUCCUUGUCGGGUAAGUUCCGACCCGCACGAAAGGCGUAACGAUUUGGGCACUGUCUCAACGAGAGACUCGGUGAAAUCAUAGUACCUGUGAAGAUGCAGGUUACCCGCGACAGGACGGAAAGACCCCGUGGAGCUUUACUGUAGCCUGAUAUUGAAAUUCGGCACAGCUUGUACAGGAUAGGUAGGAGCCUUUGAAACGUGAGCGCUAGCUUACGUGGAGGCGCUGGUGGGAUACUACCCUAGCUGUGUUGGCUUUCUAACCCGCACCACUUAUCGUGGUGGGAGACAGUGUCAGGCGGGCAGUUUGACUGGGGCGGUCGCCUCCUAAAAGGUAACGGAGGCGCUCAAAGGUUCCCUCAGAAUGGUUGGAAAUCAUUCAUAGAGUGUAAAGGCAUAAGGGAGCUUGACUGCGAGACCUACAAGUCGAGCAGGGUCGAAAGACGGACUUAGUGAUCCGGUGGUUCCGCAUGGAAGGGCCAUCGCUCAACGGAUAAAAGCUACCCCGGGGAUAACAGGCUUAUCUCCCCCAAGAGUUCACAUCGACGGGGAGGUUUGGCACCUCGAUGUCGGCUCAUCGCAUCCUGGGGCUGUAGUCGGUCCCAAGGGUUGGGCUGUUCGCCCAUUAAAGCGGUACGCGAGCUGGGUUCAGAACGUCGUGAGACAGUUCGGUCCCUAUCCGUCGUGGGCGUAGGAAAUUUGAGAGGAGCUGUCCUUAGUACGAGAGGACCGGGAUGGACAUACCUCUGGUGUACCAGUUGUCGUGCCAACGGCAUAGCUGGGUAGCUAUGUGUGGACGGGAUAAGUGCUGAAAGCAUCUAAGCAUGAAGCCCCCCUCAAGAUGAGAUUUCCCAACUUCGGUUAUAAGAUCCCUCAAAGAUGAUGAGGUUAAUAGGUUCGAGGUGGAAGCAUGGUGACAUGUGGAGCUGACGAAUACUAAUCGAUCGAAGACUUAAUCAA